rnacentral:misc_RNA from 1 species
AAGUCGUAACAAGGUUUCCGUAGGUGAACCUGCGGAAGGAUCAUUACUGAAGGAAAAGAGUGGCAAAGAUUGUCGCUGGCUCGAAAGAGCAUGUGCACGUCUUUUGCUGCUUGAUUUCAUUCUCUUUCCACCUGUGCACCCUUUGUAGACACUUGGGGAAUGGGGUCUUGAUACCAAAAAGUUCUCUGGGUGUCUAUGUACUUUUUUGAUACACACGGUUGAAUGUCUAUAGAAUGAGAUUGUAGGCUUUUGAUAGCCUUUAAAUGAUAAAAUACAACUUUCAACAACGGAUCUCUUGGCUCUC